AUACGGAGGAUGCGAGCGUUAUCCGGAUUUAUUGGGUUUAAAGGGUGCGUAGGCGGACGAUUAAGUCAGCUGUGAAAUGCCCGCGCUUAACGCGGGAAGUGCAGUUGAUACUGGUUGUCUGGAGUGCCGUUGCCGUGGGGGGAAUGUGUAGUGUAGCGGUGAAAUGCAUAGAUAUUACACAGAACGCCGAUUGUGAAGACACCUCACGAAGCGGUAACUGACGCUGAGGCACGAAAGCGUGGGGAUCGAACAGGAUUAGAUACCCUGGUAGUCCACGCAGUAAACGAUGAUGACUAACCGCCGGCGAGAGACUGUCGGUGGCCAAGCGAAAGCGAUAAGUCAUCCACCUGGGGAGUACGACCGCAAGGUUGAAACUCAAAUGAAUUGGCGGGG
rnacentral:rRNA from 1 species